rnacentral:rRNA from 1 species
UACGUAGGGGGCAAGCGUUAUCCGGAAUUACUGGGUGUAAAGGGUGCGUAGGCGGUAAUGUAAGUCAGGUGUGAAAGCCCGGAGCUCAACUUCGGGACUGCACUUGAAACUACAUAACUAGAGUACAGGAGAGGUGAGUGGAAUUCCUAGUGUAGCGGUGAAAUGCGUAGAUAUUAGGAGGAACACCAGUGGCGAAGGCGACUCACUGGACUGUAACUGACGCUGAGGCACGAAAGCGUGGGGAGCGAACAGG